rnacentral:tRNA from 2 species
GCUGUUUUAGCUCAGUUGGUAGAGCACAUCCUUGGUAAGGAUGAGGUCGCUGGUUCGACUCCAGUAAACAGCU